AGGAGGGCCGGGUGGUGGUGUUGAAAGCGGGUCUUGCGGUAGUAGUGGUGGUGGUGGUAGGGGGGUGAACACAGUUGCCGUCGGGGUCCUCGUAGCUGCCGGUGACGCAAGGCGUGACGGCCUCGUGGUCGCAGGUCAGCUUGCCUUGGUCCCAGAUGGUGCCUCUGGCACAGGGCAUCUCCUGCGGGCCGUAUGGGGCACACUGGAUGAACUUCCUGCAGUCUGUUGGGUGAGGGAAGUAUUGCUGGCCGCUGGAGCAGUCAACGCAGGGGAAGGAGGGCCGGGUGGUGGUGUUGAAAGCGGGUCUUGCGGUAGUAGUGGUGGUGGUGGUAGGGG